UCUUUAACUACCAUGCCCCCAACUCUUUAUGAGUUGGCACUUAUCCUUUGUGUCUCUGUGCAUGUACCACCUUUUCCAGAAAUUGUCAUGGAAGCCUUUUUUUCACUCUGAUAUGAUCAAGCAGAAUACAGACAUUAUGAAGACAGGCUUUUGGUCUGUUUUAUACUAGCCUGGAACAAAGGAAGAGCUCAAUACAUAUUUGUUGAGUAAAUGAAUGGAUGAGUAAAUGUAACAGAAAAGAAGCCUUCAGAAAAUAAAAAUGCCUGACAGAACUCAGUGAUGCUUGUUGAAGAAAUGAGUUUAGUGAAAGUCCUUUUGAAAGUAUGCUUUGUGGAGAGCUCCCUAUGAGAGGUUUCAAUGAUUCUUAAAUAAUUACUAUUUUUAAAAACUG
rnacentral:lncRNA from 1 species